rnacentral:lncRNA from 10 species
AAAUGGUGGGACAGUGAGACAUUUUGUCAUGCUACUCAGAACAGCAGGCAGUUUAAAACUUAGAAAUUAUUUCUGGAGUUUUCUAUUUACAUCACAAUGCCUACAUCAUUUAUUUCAUUUCAUAUCAUCAUGAAGCCAUUGUACUAUUUCAUCAUUACCUCAAGAAGAAAGGUCUCAAUGACAGAUUUGUUUUUGAAUAAAU